GCGGGCUGGACCUCUCGGGGUUACAGCCUUGCUGAAUUAUUCACCCUUGUCUUUUGCGUACUUCUUGUUUCCUUGGUGGGUUCGCCCACCACUAGGACAAACAUAAACCUUUUGUAAUUGCAAUCAGCGUCAGUAACAAAUUAAUAAUUACAACUUUCAACAACGGAUCUCUUGGUUCUGGCAUCGAUGAAGAACGCAGCGAAAUGCGAUAAGUAGUGUGAAUUGCAGAAUUCAGUGAAUCAUCGAAUCUUUGAACGCACAUUGCGCCCUUUGGUAUUCCAAAGGGCAUGCCUGUUCGAGCGUCAUUUGUACCCUCAAGCUUUGCUUGGUGUUGGGCGUCUUGUCUCUAGCUUUGCUGGAGACUCGCCUUAAAGUAAUUGGCAGCCGGCCUACUGGUUUCGGAGCGCAGCACAAGUCGCACUCUCUAUCAGCAAAGGUCUAGCAUCCAUUAAGCCUUUUUUUCAACUUUUGACCUCGGAUCAGGUAGGGAUACCCGCUGAACUUAAGCAUAUCAAUAAAGCGGAGGA
rnacentral:rRNA from 1 species